rnacentral:rRNA from 1 species
UAAAGCUCUGUUGUUAGGGAAGAACAAGUACCGUUCGAAUAGGGCGGUACYUUGACGGUAUCCUAACYAGAAAGCCACGGCUAACUACGUGCCAGCAGCCGCGGUAAUACGUAGGUGGCAAGCGUUGUCCGGAAUUAUUGGGCGUAAAGCGCGCGCAGGUGGUUCCUUAAGUCUGAUGUGAAAGCCCACGGCUCAACCGUGGAGGGUCAUUGGAAACUGGGGAACUUGAGUGCAGAAGAGGAGAAGGUGGAAUUCCAAGUGUAUGCGGUGAAAUGCGUAUGAUAUUUGGAGGAACACCAGUGGCGAGAGGCGAGCUUUCUGGUCUGUAAYUGAGCACUGAGGCGCGAAAGCGUGKGGGAGCAAACAGGAUUAGAUACCCUGGUAGUCCACGCCGUAAACGAUGAGUGCUAAGUGUUAGGGGGUUUCCGCCCCUUAGUGCUGCMACUAACGCAUUAAG